rnacentral:rRNA from 1 species
CGGGAACCUUUGGAUUCGUCUGAGGGUGAGAGUGGCGGACGGGUGAGUAACACGUAGGUGACAUACCCCAGAGAGGGGGACAACCAUUGGAAACGAUGGCUAAUACCCCAGAUGUUACACUGUCUAGGAAGGUGUGACUAAAUGCUCCGGCGCUCUGGGAGUGGCCUGCGGCCCAUCAGCUAGUUGGUAAGGUAAUGGCUUACCAAGGCAAAGACGGGUAGGGGGCGUGAGAGCGUGACCCCCCACACUGGUACUGAGACACGGACCAGAUACCUGCGGGUAGCAGCAGCAAGGAAUACUGCGCAAUGGGCGAAAGCCUGACGCAGCAACACCGCGUGGAGGAUGAAUGUCUUCGGAUUGUAAACUCCUUUUCUGGGGGAAGAGAUAGGACGGUACCCCAGGAAUAAGUCUCGGCUAACUACGUGCCAGCAGCCGCGGUAAAACGUAGGAGGCAAACGUUAUCCGGAUUUACUGGGCGUAAAGCGCAUG